rnacentral:rRNA from 1 species
GACGAACCGUGCGAACGUUAUUCGGAAUCACUGGGCUUAAAGCGCGUGUAGGCGGGCCGGCACGUCGGUCGCUGAAAGCCCCCGGCUCAACCGGGGAAGCGGCGCCGAUACGACCGGCCUGGAGGGGGGUAGGGGGCGCCGGGAACGGCCGGUGGAGCGGUGAAAUGCGUUGAGAUCGGCCGGAACGCCCGUGGCGAAAGCGGGCGCCUGGACCCCGCCUGACGCUGAGACGCGAAAGCCAGGGGAGCGAACGGG